UACGAAGGGGGCCAGCGUUGUUCGGAAUUACUGGGCGUAAAGCGCGCGCAGGCGGUCUUCCAAGUCAGUGGUGAAAGCCCGGAGCUCAACUCCGGAACUGCCAUUGAAACUGUGAGACUUGAGGAUGAGAGAGGUGAGUGGAAUUCCCAGUGUAGAGGUGAAAUUCGUAGAUAUUGGGAAGAACACCGGUGGCGAAGGCGGCUCACUGGCUCAUUUCUGACGCUCAGGCGCGACAGCGUGGGGAUCAAACAGG
rnacentral:rRNA from 1 species